GUGUCAGCAGCCGCGGUAAAACGUAGGACGCAAGCGUUAUCCGGAGUUACUGGGCGUAAAGCGCGGGCAGGCGGUUGCUCAAGUCUGAUGUGAAAUCUCCUCGCUCAACGGGGAGCAGCCAUUGGAAACUGGGCAACUGGAGUCUGGCAGAGGUAGGCGGAAUUCCGGGUGGAGUGGUGAAAUGCGUAGAGAUCCGGAGGAACACCAGAGGCGAAGGCGGCCUACUGGGCCAGUACUGACGCUGAGCCGCGAAAGCCAGGGGAGCGAACGGGAUUAGAAACCCCGGUAGUCC
rnacentral:rRNA from 1 species